CAAACACACUAUGUAGGGUUCCAACCCCACCCGCCCCUCUGGUCCUCGGCCGCCGCUCGCCAUCCUCGGCACCACCUCGCAAUCGCGCUCGCCCACUCGUGCUCCUCCACCGAUCGCUGCAGCCCGUUGCCCCGACGACCUCAUCUGCGGCCCUCCCGGACGUGGACCAGGGACUCAACUGCGCAGCCGCAAUGGACCCUCACAUCGGCCAGAUCCGAGCACCUUCGGCGCCGCCUUCACAUGUCUCCGUCACUUCCACGAGAACUACUGGUUCCGCCUGCUGGGUCCUGUCCCCGCCGUGGGUGUCGUUCUUCAUGUUGUCCCGGUUUGGUCGGCCGCAUGGGAAGAGGAAGAGGAAGGAGAGGGCAACACAGCCCAAACUCACAACGGACCGCCUCUCCAAUGACGACGUGGGCUUCUACCUCCCCCUUAUUUGUUCUUAGCGUGAUUUCAUUCUUCAGCAUCUGAAGUAGUAGACCAUUUAAUUAAUUGUUGCCGAUAGGCUAGCUCAUAUGUUCUGAUCUAAAGUGGUUUCACAUGUUUGUUCAUUGAUUGGGAAAUGAUAUUGUUUCUUCAUGAAGCAUCACAAGAAGGUUGAUUCUUCUCCGUAUGUUCAAAUCAAUUGUUGAUUGAUUAGCCAAGGUUGAUUUGGGUCGUCCAUGUCUGCAAGUGUUCAAUUGCAACCUUAAAACCAAUCACAAAGUUGAUUUGGUCCAUGUAUGACUUAAUUUUUUUUUCAGGUUUAGGUUAUUGAGAUUGUACAUCAGUAUGAUAUUUCUAUACAUGUUGAUUUGUUCAUUUGUUUAGAAGUAUAAGAGGUGCAGAGCACAGGAUUUGGAGGUAUGGAGUUUAUGAUACAGUGACAUAUUUUGUUUUGGUACUGAAUAUCAAAUUGUGUCUUUUCUAUUUAUGAACUCUUUGGAUAUGUUCUUUACUGGGCGGAUCCGUGCACUGCCGAGACCUCUCUAUCCAUUGUAGCUCAUACCAUUUGACAGUUGUUUAGAUAUUUUUUUCCAUGCCCGUUUUGUUGAUCAAAUUUCUGAUUUUAUAUUUAGGUAGGAGUAUUUUAUGAACUUACUCUUCUCCAUGGCGCGUCCACGAGGUCAGAAAUUUCAUGCUCCAAAUGUGUUUGGCGAGCAUAAGGUUAUUUGGUGAUUGCUUUUGUCAACUGCCGGUUAUGAGAUUUGUGUGCAUCAUGGUUUGUCGAUUCACGUAGUGCAGGUAGUAGCCAUUUAUUACAGAACAUGCUUCGCGAUGGAAGAGAAAGUAAUUUGUAUGUGUGAAUCAUGAAGCGGAUUGACGAGUUCACCGACGCGCAGGUAUGACUGCUUUAUGCAUUUUCAGAGGUUUGAUGCACGGGCUGCAAUGGUUUAAUAAAUUGAAUCUUCUAUCAUCCUAACAUUUGGUAGACGAUGAGGCAGGUCAAAUAGAUUAUUCUCACACUGCACACAUAAUAAAUUUUCAGAACCUUUUGUCCGGUCAAUGUUAUGACUAGAGUAGUUCAUCUAACUUUUUUCAUACGGCCUUAACCAGUUUCAGAGGUUGCGGCGCAAGCAUGUGGAAACAUAUGCAGUUGAUGAAAAGGCUAAUCUUCUUUCACAUGUUUUUGUGCCUUUUACCACUGCAAAUUUGUGUUCAAUUUGUUCAGUCUAGCUAUACCAAUUUGUUUAUGCAAUUAACUAUAAGAUUGUCUGGUAUUGAGGGUCCUUUAUAUAUUUAGAUGUCCCAACCACUUCAUACUUGCAUUACAAAGGUGCGCGUGUGAUAUUUGUGAUGUGUUUUACACUAAUUGAAUGCAAGUAAGGUGUGCUCUUCUCCUUUUCAAUUGCUCUUAUCUAUUUAGAUGUCCCAGCCACAGCCAGUUCACAGUUAUAUUACAAAGGUGUGCGUGUGAUAUUUGUUUUGUUUUUUUUUACACUGAUUGAAUGCAAGUAAGGUGUGUUCUCCUUCUUAUUGAACAAAUGAAAUUCACACUUGGAUGGAAGGAUUUGUGAUGUGCUUAGAUCGAUGAUAAGAUUCAGCAAUAAGCAUUUUUUUUGUAAAAAUACAUAUUAUGAUUUGGUUAGUUUAUCCGCACACCCACAUGCAUAGAAGUUAGGCCUGUUCUUUUUCUUCGCGUAAUUGUGUUAAGAACAGAGAAAACAUAACUUUGUAUACUGAUAGCUGUACAACAUAAUACAAGUACUUGUUGCUUGAGUAUUAUUGACAUUCCUCCUCUCUGACGUUGUCUCCAUCAUGACGCUCUAGACGACAGGUGCCUGAGAUGGUCCCAUCAGUAUAUAUGCAGCGAAAGUAUUUGCAGAAGUAGUGGCAUGUUUCAGUAAAGGCGGUCGACAAUUUGGCUUUUAUUCAAUUGGUAAUAGAAGCGUGCACAAAUGCGAGCAAGGCUGGGUCACCUGGGUGUCAUUCUGUAGUUUCGACUGUCUUAUAAAGUGCUAACCUGCCAUAAUACAAAGCGCUAGGUAUUUGUAUGAUUGAUCAGAAUAUUGAGCAGCAAAAGAGAGGAGAGAGAGGAGCUACCACGGUGGCCAGGUAAGUCGAAGAUGUAGUGGAAUGAGAUAGAAUAAGCGUGCACUCUACAAGCUUAUCACGCCAUGCUAUUUGGAUAAGUCACAUAGCAUAAUUAGGAUACGAGAUACAACAAAAUAUUUGAGGGAUUGCAAGGUGCUAUAGGACUCGAACAUCAAUGGCGCUGAUCAUUUCAAACUUAGGCUUUAUGAUCAAAUGGCAAGCAUAGGGAGCUCUCAUCAUGGGAAUCAUAUUUGAAGCGGCCUGAGGCAGUGUGUUUAGUCUCCAUAUCUCUACAUCGCUACAGGAUAUUCACAUAAUGGAGACAUUGCUGGAGAAUGGUGAGCCACCCUUUCGCUGCUGGUGUCAAUGAUGUCCAAUUUAUAGUUCUCUUUCCAGAAACAAAGAAAUUCAGAUGAGUAGUGAAUUCAUUGCAGACAUACAAGGUGCAUCAGCUGACACAAAAUUCAUUUUGUAGCAGCUUGCAAGUGACUCAAGGUUUGGCAAUAAAAACAUAGGGCACACAAUAUUGAUCAAUGCCUUUAUUCAUAUGGUCCCGUAGCAACGCACGGGCAUUGUCCUAGUAUUAAACAAGAAAACAUGUUUCAGGACGGACGAAAACUCUCGCGUUUGCACGCCCGCAUAGCGGAAACAACCGCAUCCUCGAUCAGCUCCUUAAUUUUCGGGCCGAUUCCAAGUGAAUCGUGCCUCCCCGAUCCUUCUUUCUCUUCCCAGAUCGAGAAAAACGGCGCCGCCGCUCCUCGCUUCUCCUCCUUCUGUGCACUUCCCCCCGAUCCACCCGAGUCGACCCUGCCUCCAGUCGUCGCUCGCGCUCCUGCAAGCCGCCGCCGACCUCAUCAGCCGGUCAACCGCGCCCAACGCCCUCCUUCAUUUUCUCCCCCUCUCCCCACUAAUCUCUCUUUGUUCCCAAACUACAGGACGCCAUGGCCACCGGGGGCAGGGGGACGCGGCCGCGAUGGCCCCGAGCUCGGCGGCAUGGAAGCCAUUGGAGGCACUAGCGAGGCCGAUGUCGGUGAGCCUAGCAGCGGCGGUCGGGUGCAUUGAGCGCAGGUCUUCCCCGCCACGGCGCCCUGAUGCUCUGCACCGCCAUCGUUGCCACCGGAUUCGGCAGGGAACAGACGGAUCCGUGGAGCCCGCAUCGUAUCCGCCGUCCCAGCUUCCCGUUGCUCCACCGGCGUCCUGGUCCGUCCUGGUCUUCGUCACCAGCCAAGAUCCCUUAGCACCGCCGCCCCGAACGAUCUCCAGCCGCCUCCACGCGCACGGGAUCGAGCAAGGCCGCGCCUGCGUCCCACGUCCGCUUCAUCCCAUGGGUCGUUAGCCUUCGCCUCGGCCCAGCUGCCUUGCGUCCAGCCUACAGCCGCCCUAAGGUGUAAUGUUGCUGUUGAUUAUUUAAGUGUAUUGUCAUAAGGUGUAAUGUUAUAGCAUAUUUACUUGGAGAAUCUCAUGCAUUCUUCAUUCGGUAUAUGUUUUUUCAACUUUUUCUGCUGACUAUAUCUGAAGGAGCAAUCCUCAUUUAGCAUUUGGAAGCCCAUGUUUCCGUCACCCCGGAUGUUGACGGGCGGCAGCUCGAAGGACGUGUGGCCACGAUGAAAAUGGCGCAGCAACCGGCACAAGUGGCGGGAGCAGCGGUCAGGACCACGGGCAUGGCUGGGUAGUGACAUGUGCGUAAGCAAUGUCGAGCGUGGCGGAUGACGCCAAGAUGAGAUUCUCCAUAUCGUUAUUUCCUCUCUCUCUCUCUACCAAUCCUUCUUGCUUCCCCUCUGUCUCUCUCAAUGCCACUAUAUGCAGGUUCUGACAUGUGCUUUUGUUUGAUCCCGGCUUGAUUUUUUCUUUGGUAAGAUUCAAUGAUGGUUGAUGCAAGCCCAUGCUUCUCACAAGUUGGAUUGAAGUUUGUUGUUCCUCUAUUUGUACUAUUGUUUCCUUACCAAGUACUAUCAGUACUGGGGUAGAAAACACUUACCUAUUACAUAGUUCUUUGCUGACAGCCGAAUGUGAUGUUUGAACGGUUUCCCCUAUAUGCAGGAAGUACAAUUUGCAUGUAAUUUUUUACUUUUAGUUUCAGAUUAUCCCCUUUUCUGUGUGCAUUUACUAGAAGCUUAUAUGAAUCUGUGUCAUCUUUCAUCGAGUAAAAUGUAAGUCAGUUCAAGUUAACAUUGAGCAUUUUUCAGUUCUCUCUCUUGUUAGGCUAAUUUAGGUAGUUUUACUGGGCCAUGCAUACUUGCUUCAUGUCCUUUCUUUCAGACAUUUGGCAAAUUAAAUCAUCCAAUGUUUAGUUAUUUUCUCAUUAUAUUUUCCUGAAGGUGUCCAAAUACAAUCAAUUUACCCCCUGUAAGUGCACCCAAUUCGAUGUUUUUGUCAAUUGUAUUAUUUAGAAGGCGCAGAUUUCUAGCAACCAUAUAAUUUAGAAAUGGUAUGAUAUAUGUUGCCGUCUUGUGACCCCCAGUUGACAAGCAAUUUCAAGAAAAAACACCAUUUCACUUAGUUUGAUUAUCAUUUUGCAGGCCUGGUAUAGCAGAAUUAGAGUUGAAGCUCUCUGAGUAUACCAAAAAGAUGUCAUAUCUGCAACAGAUGGUUCAGGAGCUAGCCUCAAAGUAUGACUAUAAUCUGAAUGAAGACUAUGCCGAGACAGAGCUGAAGUUGAGGGAACAUUGCAAUCGUUUAUCGGAACAGUAAAAUCCUUCAAUAUGAUAUACAGUAAGGUGCAGGCCGGUCAAAUGAGGGCACGGGCGAAGAACAACAUGACCAAGAGACUGUCCCCAUUGGGCCACAAGGUGGAGGGGAAGCAUGCGAGGGUCGAGGCUGAGGUAGAACUGGCGGGCACUCUGGCUGGCGCGACAGGUGGAGCGCAUCCGGAAGACCGAGCGCAUGUCGUCCCGGUUCCGGUGCUGCAACUGGUUCAUGUGCUGAAAACCAAACAAAACUCAGAUGCGUCUGAAAUGCAACCUGACUGAAGAAGCCUCAAGGUCUCAGUGCAAGCUUCUGGGGCAAGAUGUACAUGAAAUUAUUUGAAUCAAUGUGCUGUAGGUGUUGCUUUACUCUAUAAUCUAUACAAUCUUAAUGGCUGUGACCUGAGAUUCAGUAGCAUGUUAUGAGCUAGCGGUAAUGGCCUGCUGACUAAUGUACUCGGAACUUUAAGUCAUCUUUUCUUUAAGCUUAGUGGUAAUUGUAGAAAAAAGAAAAACAUCAGGUAAUACUAUGAUCUUUUAUCUUCA